UAGAACACUUUGAGUCUGCAUAGAACAUCCUGCAGGAGAAGGUGCCUGAUAAAUCCUACUGAGGUAUCAACAGAACAGACUAAAGGUUGUCACUUGAAGCCAUAGCUUUGUGGUCCCUGCGGAAGUGGAAGAGGCUCCAUUGAAGAUAUCCAUGAUCUGCGGACACAGAUGACAUUUGUAUUCAUGUCAUUACUCAGAGGACCACAUCCUUCGGCUUCCUUUUGGUGGGGACCUCAGGGAAGAAAGUCCUUCAAAGAGGCCAUCUGUUCCCAAAAUCAAGACUGA
rnacentral:lncRNA from 1 species